rnacentral:lncRNA from 1 species
UGAAGAUGAAUCUCAGACCCAAAAUUUUAUCCACAAAAUUUCAACACAGAUUUAUAUGGUAUUAGAUAUGGGAUUGAAAUCUGAAUUUCUAGAAGUUUACUAUUGACAUAUUUGAGUUUUUUUUAUGAUGUAAUUUAUUGUAUUUUUCAAUGGAAUUUAAAUGAAGAAGAUGAAUGUUUGGAGAUGAAGAAGAUGAAUGUUUGAAGAUGAAGAAAGAUAAAGAAG